GCUAAGUAAAUUGUUUCUUAUUUGCAGGAUGACAUGUCACAUUUUAGAAAAAAAUUGGCUGCUAUAUUACUAUCUUCAUACAUGAACAAAAGAAGGGGAUAUCCAAUAUACAAAUAUGAUAAAGAAGUUCAUACUGGAAGCCCCUCUGAUGUUGAGAUAUUAGAUAGCCCAACAAAUCAUAAGAAGAGGAAACUACUCCAUGUGCUUGAUAAUAGCGAGGUAUUGAUGGAAGAUGAGGAUAGCCCCAUUACUCAAGCAGACUUACAAAGGUGGUUUGUUGAUGAAUGGGAUAAAAGAACUCCUACAAAAGUCUCGGCGGAUGGGUGCACAGACGACUUUUUAAUGAGUGGUCUCUCCACAAAAGACAUGCCAGUGACUAAAGCCG
rnacentral:misc_RNA from 1 species